GAGCCACGUGAUAGUAUAUGGGGUUUGGUUUGGCCUCGUAAGACCAAUAAUUUUACAGAUUUUAUGUGGUUCUAUAAUCGCCCACGACUGUCAAAUAAUGAACAUGACAUGAUACGAUACAUACAUAGUUCUAUAUUUAUAUACUUGAUUCCUUUUGUAAACAAAAUUUUUAGUUGGAGUUCUUAAUUAGAUUUGUAUCUUCUAAAUUAAUUAGAGUGUGAUGAUGGUUGACGGGAGCAACUAUAAUUUGUAUGGAAGUUGACGGAAACAAUUAUAUAUUUCCAUUU
rnacentral:lncRNA from 1 species